rnacentral:rRNA from 1 species
GAUAUUUUAGAGAGUUUGAUCCUGGCUCAGGACGAACGCUGGCGGCGUGCCUAACACAUGCAAGUCGAACGGAGUAAAACGCUGAAUUGAUGUAAGCUUGCUUAUGGAUUUUCUUGUUUUACUUAGUGGCGGACGGGUGAGUAACGCGUGAGUAACCUGCCUUACAGAGGGGGACAACAGUUGGAAACGACUGCUAAUACCGCAUAACAUACGGAUAUCGCAUGGUAACCGUAUCAAAGGAGCAAUCCGCUGUAAGAUGGACUCGCGUCCAAUUAGAUAGUUGGUGGGGUAACGGCCCACCAAGUCGACGAUUGGUAGCCGGACUGAGAGGUUG